rnacentral:rRNA from 1 species
CCUACGGGAGGCAGCAGUGAGGAAUAUUGGUCAAUGGACGAGAGUCUGAACCAGCCAAGUAGCGUGAAGGAUGACUGCCCUAUGGGUUGUAAACUUCUUUUAUAUGGGAAUAAAAUGUUCCACGUGUGGGAUUUUGUAUGUACCAUAUGAAUAAGGAUCGGCUAACUCCGUGCCAGCAGCCGCGGUAAUACGGAGGAUCCGGGCGUUAUCCGGAUUUAUUGGGUUUAAAGGGAGCGUAGGUGGAUUGUUAAGUCAGGUGUGAAAUUUUGCGGGUCAACCGUAAAAUUGCGGUUGAAACUGGCAGUCUUGAGUACAGUAGAGGUAGGCGGAAUGCGUGGUGUAGCGGUGAAAUGCAUAGAGAGCACGAAGAACUCCGAUUGCGAAGGCAGCUCACUGGACUGCAACUGACACUGAGGCUCGAAAGUGUGGGUAUCAAACAGGAUUAGAUACCCGUGUAGUC